rnacentral:rRNA from 1 species
GUAGGGAAUAUUGCGCAAUGGGGGAAACCCUGACGCAGCAACGCCGCGUGAGUGAGGAAGGUCUUCGGAUUGUAAAACUCUUUUAUUAGGGAAAAAUGUCUAGGUGGCUAAUAUCCACUUAGAGUGAUGGUACCUAAGGAAUAAGCACCGGCUAACUUCGUGCCAGCAGCCGCGGUAAUACGAAGGGUGCAAGCGUUGUUCGGAAUCAUUGGGCGUAAAGCGCGCGCAGGCGGGUCAGUAAGUCAGGUGUGAAAUCUCGGAGCUCAACUCCGAAACUGCGCCUGAAACUAUUGGUCUAGAGUAUCGGAGGGGACAGGGGAAUUUCACGUGUAGGGGUAAAAUCCGUAGAGAUGUGAAGGAACACCGGAGGCGAAGGCGCCUGUCUGGACGAUUACUGACGCUGAGGCGCGAAAGCGUGGGGAGCAAACAGGAUUAGAUACCCUUGUAGUCC